CCCAGACUCCUACGGGAGGCAGCAGUGGGGAAUAUUGCACAAUGGGGGAAACCCUGAUGCAGCAACGCCGCGUGAGUGAAGAAGUAUUUCGGUAUGUAAAGCUCUAUCAGCAGGGAAGAAAAUGACGGUACCUGAGUAAGAAGCCCCGGCUAACUACGUGCCAGCAGCCGCGGUAAUACGUAGGGGGCAAGCGUUAUCCGGAUUUACUGGGUGUAAAGGGAGCGUAGACGGCGAUACAAGUCUGAAGUGAAAGCCCGGGGCUCAACCCCGGGACUGCUUUGGAAACUGUGUUGCUGGAGUGCUGGAGAGGCAAGCGGAAUUUCUAGUGUAGCGGUGGAAUGCGUAGAUAUUAGGAAGAACACCGGAGGCGAAGGCGGCUUACUGGACUGUAACUGACGCUGAGGCUCGAAAGCGUGGGGAGCAAACAGGAUUAGAUACCCUGGUAAU
rnacentral:rRNA from 1 species